AUUGAACGCUGGCGGUAGGCCUAACACAUGCAAGUCGAACGGUAACAGGAAGCAGCUUGCUGCUUUGCUGACGAGUGGCGGACGGGUGAGUAAUGUCUGGGAAACUGCCUGAUGGAGGGGGAUAACUACUGGAAACGGUAGCUAAUACCGCAUAACGUCGCAAGACCAAAGAGGGGGACCUUCGGGCCUCUUGCCAUCGGAUGUGCCCAGAUGGGAUUAGCUAGUAGGUGGGGUAACGGCUCACCUAGGCGACGAUCCCUAGCUGGUCUGAGAGGAUGACCAGCCACACUGGAACUGAGACACGGUCCAGACUCCUACGGGAGGCAGCAGUGGGGAAUAUUGCACAAUGGGCGCAAGCCUGAUGCAGCCAUGCCGCGUGUAUGAAGAAGGCCUUCGGGUUGUAAAGUACUUUCAGCGGGGAGGAAGGGAGUAAAGUUAAUACCUUUGCUCAUUGACGUUACCCGCAGAAGAAGCACCGGCUAACUCCGUG
rnacentral:rRNA from 1 species